rnacentral:rRNA from 1 species
UACGUAGGGUGCAAGCGUUGUCCGGAAUUAUUGGGCGUAAAGAGCUCGUAGGCGGUUUGUCGCGUCGGCUGUGAAAACUCGGGGCUCAACCCCGAGCCUGCAGUCGAUACGGGCAGACUAGAGUGCUGUAGGGGAGACUGGAAUUCCUGGUGUAGCGGUGAAAUGCGCAGAUAUCAGGAGGAACACCUGUGGCGAAAGCGGCGCACUGGACCACAACUGACGCUGAGGCGCGAAAGCUAGGGGAGCAAACAGG